AACGAACGCUGGCGGCAUGCCUAACACAUGCAAGUCGAACGAGACCUUCGGGUCUUGUGGCGCACGGGUUCGUAACGCGUGGGAACCUGCCCUUAGGUUCGGAAUAACUCCCCGAAAGGGGUGCUAAUACCGGAUAAUGUCUUCGGACCAAAGAUUUAUCGCCUUUGGUUGGGCCCGCGUUGGAUUAGCUUGUUGGUAGGGUAAAAGCAUACCAAGGCGACGAUCCAUAGCUGGUCUGAGAGGAUGGUCAGCCACACUGGGACUGAGACACGGCCCAGACUCCUACGGGAGGCAGCAGUGGGGAAUAGUGGAAAAUGGGCGAAAGCAUGAUCCAGCAAUGCCGCGUGAGUGAUGAAGGCCUUAGGGUUGUAAAGCUCUUUUAACCGGGAUGAUAAUGACAGUACCGGGAGAAUAAGCUCCGGCUAACUCCGUG
rnacentral:rRNA from 1 species